rnacentral:misc_RNA from 1 species
UAAAGCUGAUGUUUACAGCUUCGGAAUGCUGCUAAUGGGAAUGUUGGACUUGAAUAGAAAUGAAGUUGCAAAUGAAGAGAAUUCCAGCCAAUAUUUUCCUUAUAAUAUUUACGAUAAGUUCAACAAGGGGAAAGAGAUUGUGGUAGAUGAAGAAGCGAAUGAUGAUGAAAAGAAGAUGGCUAGAAAGCUGAGUUUGGUUGCGUUAUGGUGCAUACAAACAAAUCCGAUACAACGCCCUUCAAUGAGUAAAGUAGUACAAAUGCUUGAAGGCGAAGUUGAAGCGCUAGAAGUACCUCCUCAGCCUCUUCAAUCUCCACCGAUUGUCCAUCAGAUCAUGGAAAGUUCUACGACAUUAUCGUCUGAUUCAAUAGCUUUGUUAGAUAAUUCCGUGGAGGUAGACAUUUAUGCUGAUUGAUUAUAGUUGAUGUAAUGUUUAUGUGAAAUAAACAUAGCAAACCAACAAUGUUUGGGACAAAGAAUUGUGUUGUUAUUGUUGUACUAGUUAUAUUAAUGACAUAAUA